rnacentral:lncRNA from 1 species
CCCAGACUAACUCCAUUGAUGUCAGAAGAGUACAUCCUUUAAGCCCAGUGUGUGUUCCUCAAUGAAGAUCCUGGCAACCUUGUGAAAGAAUGGAUGAUCGUGGACGCCUUGAAGAAGCCAUGAUAGAGACAAUUCUUGAAGUUUUUGUCAUUCACAAAGAUGCAGAGGCAGAUGAUGACCCUGAAGAUGUAGUCAUCGUUUCAAGUGUUGUUGUUUGCUCUUGUUAUAUGCUCUCAACCUCAGCUACCCUCCACUAAAAGUUGUUUGAAAUAUUGGCCCAAUGCUGUAUGUACAAUACUGGAUGUUAGUGACAUUUUGUAGCUGCCUUUGACAUUUGAAAGCUGUUUUAUUGUUUUUAUGGAGCUUAUAAAGUAUUCUAACCAGUCUAAAUCCAAUGUGCUUUGUGUCUUCUCCAACCUACACACCAGCUGGGGAUAUAUGUUAGUUUGCAUAAUAGAAAUACUGUUUCAAAGAUUACUUUAUUUGUAUGUAAUUUUGAAAAGCUAAUCUUGGCACAAAACAUUUGAUAACUUUACAUUGGUUGUGUUAGUAUAGCAUAAUUUAUUAAUUAAUUUAAAUUAACUUGUUACUACCCUAUAAAAUUAAGUAACAAGUAUUAAUAUUAUACAUGAUCAAAUAACCCAAGAAAAUUAUGUUCAAUCAACCCUAAAAACAUUAGUGGGACUGACCCAUGGUCAUUAGGUAACAUUAACAUGAAUAUAUCAUGUUGCUUCACCCUGUUUACAUUUGGUUCACUAAGCGAAAUAGCUUCUUGCUAUCUUAACGCAUUUUAAUUAGAUGGAAAUACUUUCCAUAAUUUUAUUAUGUUCAUCCAACAAGUUUUUUUUUUGAGUGUAGAGAUGUCCAACUCGAGAUCUCCCACUCGACUCAGCGUCGAUCUUCCGAAGCGGAAGUGUCGUCAAGCAGAAUCUCGAGCGCGUUCCGAAUCACGUGACCAAUGAGAGCGAGAGGUGUCGAUACGUCACGUGACUGCUGAGCGGCUUGUGUGCAGUAUGAACGGACGGUUGUUUUAAUAUGGCAGAGCUUUAUAAACGUGGCAAGCGGUCCGCAGAUGAUCUACUGUAUAAGAUGAUAGAUGAUCUAUAAGAUAGACAGGUUUCACAUUACAGACAUCUGUAAUGUAUUUAUGAAGAGUUCAACAAAAUGUAAUUAAAAACUAAAACUACAUUUUGACAAGUCGCAAUUCCAAUAUGAUAUCUUUAUUUGUCAGACAUCAGUGCCGUGCAAACGGCUCUUCUCUAAAAGCUGGAGAGGUGGUGAGAAUGUGAUUAAAGUCAUGUUCUGUGGAAAAAUAAAAUGAAAUAAAGGUCUUUGAUUUAACUAACU